GAGUGAGAGAUACUUUAGCAAACUAUAAUUGCCUAAACUUGAGCUAACAAUGUCAAAAAAGAUGGUGUUUGGUCAAAAAAAGUAGCCAAUCUACGAUAGUGGGAUUUUGGGCAAAGACAACUAAUAAAAACACUAGGAAAUUGAAAUCAGUGACAGAUGAGAAAACUGAUUUAAAUAAUGAACAAUUGUCCAAUAAUUCCUGUCUUGAUAAACAAAGGUUAGCUGGAGACUCGGUAACAAUAGAUGCGAUAAUAAAUCUGGAUAACUCAGACAGUUCAGAUUCGUACAAGAGCCCACUUAAAGUACAACUAAAUACAGUUGUAAUACAACGGAAUUGUAUCAUGUUAAAAGCCCAACAGAGAAAAAAGAUGAAAUUGAAAAAGAAUUUGGAUUUUCAAAGUUAUUGCGAAAGAACAGCAACUCUCUGAAAACUUGUGUUAUUUCUGAAUCUUCUGAUAGUGAGAAAGAUGAAAAUAAUGUGAGAAGAUGCUUGCGUUUAAAUCCAAAUAAAUUGGAAAUGAAAGAUGAGAAAAGCAAGCUGUCAUUUCACAAAUGUAUAAGUAUGAUAAAUACAACAGUGAAGAUUUUCCUUCUUCUAGUGGUGCAACAUUGUUAGAGGAAAAUAGGCAAA